UACGAAGGGGGCUAGCGUUGUUCGGAAUUACUGGGCGUAAAGCGCGCGCAGGCGGCUAUCCAAGUCAGUGGUGAAAGCCCGGAGCUCAACUCCGGAACUGCCAUUGAAACUGUUUAGCUUGAGGAUGAGAGAGGUGAGUGGAAUUCCCAGUGUAGAGGUGAAAUUCGUAGAUAUUCGCAAGAACACCAGAGGCGAAGGCGGCUCACUGGCCCGAUACUGACGCUGAGGCACGAAAGCGUGGGGAGCAAACAGG
rnacentral:rRNA from 1 species